rnacentral:tRNA from 1 species
AAGUAUGAAAUAAUUUUUAUAAUCAAUUUCGACUUGAUUCUCAAGGCUUACUACCUCUUACUUU